CCUGGGGGCGAAGUGGCCGGGUCGCAGGGUGAAUGAAGAGCUCGACCAGCCGGGCGCCCGGCUUCGGCCACUCCCAGGCCUAUUGGCUGCCACCCCGCCGCCCCCAGGCCCAGCCCUUCCCCCCGCGGGAGCUGCCGGGCCCCACGGGCGAUGGGGGCUGUGCUCUAGCUCCCCCCGGGCCAGCCUUACCCCGCUCGCUGACACUUCGCGGCCCCGUUUCCAUGGAGCUCCUCCCCCGCUUCAAACCGACCCGCGGCUUUAGCGGACCCCAUUCUGCGCACGCGCCGCGACCCUAACUCCCGAUGCGCUCUGGGAUUUGUAGUCCUUCGCGCUCCACCCAGACACGGAGCUAAACAGUGUCGGCGUGCCGGGGAGGCACCUGGGAUUUUUUUGCCGGAGGCGCGUGCGCAAUGAACCUCACCAGGGUGGUGCGGGUCAUGCCGGGAUAUGUAGUUUCGGUCUCUCUCUAUUCCAGCAUAGAGCAACGUGGGCCAGCCUGGUCUAGUGGUGAGAGUUGAGGGUUGGCAGUGCACUAUGGGUUCUCGUUCCGUAUGGCCUUCAAGGUGACCUGAUGCUUUAGUUUCCAGAAAAAAGCUGAUCCACCUUUUGCCCACCAGAGGGCACUGUGGUGACAGACCACAGCAGCAGUUCCAGGCCAGUGGCUGAAGAGAGCCUGCCUUCUUCACAGUGCCUGUCAGGCCAGGAGAGUGCAUCACCCCAGACAUCCCAGGUUGCAGUGACCACAGCUACUGAAUGUGGCUCAACUGCUUCCCCAUGCAGCCUAUUCACCAGAUUUGGCUCCCUGACACUCCUAUGUGCCUCAAGAUGAAGGAAGAUCUUUGUGAGAAGAGUUGAAGGGUUUCUGGACAUGCUGGACUCCUACAAGCCAGGCAUAGCCAAGCUGCAGCUGUGCUGGAUCAAAUGCAUUGAUGUCAAGGGGGAUAUACUAAAAAAUGAACAAUUGAACAUGGACUGUUUUGGUCUUUUUCUCUGUCAGGCUAGAUUUGUGAAUGCCCCUUGUACAAGCAAACCUUUCAGUUUACAAUGAUGGUUAGUUCUGCUAGGCCUUAUAAUGCCCUGAGAAUGAAAUCAGGUUAUAACUAACUAAUCAGCACGACCGCAGCCAGUUAUAUCCUUCAUUUGGAUCUCAGUAGCAUUCAAAAAGGUGUGAAAUAAUUGUAUAACUUUUGAGAACAUUAUAAAAAAUUAGAUUGACAGCCAUUCUUGAUCUUUACAUACAUCUACCUUCUCCCCCAUCCCCCACUGGAUAUGCAAGUUGGCUGGGGAGUUGGUUACUGAUCCUUACAUGAAAAGUAUUAUGUAAAUACACUAGUAUUAACUAAUAUGGUUGUCAACCUAUUCCAUACUGGGAUUCCCCUUCCCUUUAGUAGUAUGGAAGGGCUUACCUGGUUGAGAAGCCCUAGUCUAAUAAAAUAUGAAAUAAUACUGUCAAAUGUGAUAAAUAUCUCAAACUUUCAUUGUUACAUGAGCAUUAAUGCAUCGAAUAAUAUUUUCUACCCUCAUAUUUAAAAGGUAAAAGCUGUAAAUCCUAUGUUUUUGCUUUUUUUUUUUUAAAGGGGGGUGAUAAUGUGUAAAUAAGCUCCUAUCAUGUAAGAUUCACUUAAUCAGAGAUGCUGAGCUUUAAUUUAUCAGGCUGCUUUUGUUUAGGUGCCUAAGUAUGAUUUUAGCAUAGAGUGGCUUGCAUUUGGAAGUGCUGACCUCAAGUUUUAAUGUUAUCUGAAUCACUUCCACAAAAUAAACUACAUGAUACUUAUCUGCCUUGAAAAAAUGAAUUAAUGCUGCCAAAAUUUUAACCCAUGGUUCUAGGGAGCGUGAGCAUUUCACAAACAUAAACCAAAUACUUACGUCACUAAGGACCCAGUUAUAUUCCGCUAUCUAAACAUUUUGGAUCUACAAAAAAGCUUGGAAACUUCCCAACAAAGUCUCUAAUCUUGUGAGAUUUCCACCACUGCUUGGCUCCUGUCAUGCCAGAAUUGUUCAAAUAAUAGCUUUCUAUUUCUUGAUGUUUCUGCUUUUCAGUAUUGAUGCAGGAAAUAAAGGGGUGAAUGAGCACAGGCACAAAAACUAAUGUAGUGUAUGACAGAAUGUUAAGAGUCUUUAAACCUCAAAGUUCAGCUGGAGGUUUGAGUGAUGGUUUGAGUUCGUUCUUAGUUAAGCUAAACUCGUUUGUCAAUCCCUACAA